UCUGGUUGAUCCUGCCAGUAGUCAUAUGCUUGUCUCAAAGAUUAAGCCAUGCAUGUCUAAGUAUGAAUCUUUAUACGGUGAAACUGCGAAUGGCUCAUUAUAUCAGUUAUCGUUUAUUUGAUAAUCAUUGCUACUUGGAUAACUGUAGUAAUUCUAGAGCUAAUACAUGCUUCAAUGCCCGACUUUGGAAGGGCUGUAUUUGUUAGAUCCAAAACCAAUGCGCAGCAAUGCGGUUCAUGGUGAUUCAUAAUAACUUUUUUAUUUUCAGACCGAAUGGCCUUUGUGCCGUCGGCGAUUCAUUCAAAUUUCUGCCCUAUCAAUUUGUUGGUACUGUAUUGGACUACCAAGAUUAUAACGGGUAACGGAGUAUUAGGGUUCGAUUCCGGAGAAGGAGCCUGAGAAACGGCUACUACAUCUAAGGAAGGCAGCAGGCGCGCAAAUUCCCCAAUCAGGACAUCUGGAGGGAGUGACGAAAAAUAUUAAUGCUGGGUUUCUACUUGGCAAUUAAAAUGAGAACAAUUUAAAACUCUUAUCGAGUAUCAAUUGGAGGGCAAGUCUGGUGCCAGCAGCCGCGGUAAUUCCAGCUCCAAUAGCGUAUAUUAAAGUUGUUGCAGUUAAAAAGCUCGUAGUUGUAUUUCGAGGGAUUGAAUGUAAAAAGUUCUUUAGCCAAACUUUGUCCGCCGAAAGGCGUGCACGAGGUUUUAGCGUCCCUUUUGUGCUCGUAACAUUUUCAGUUGAUCUUUUUUGAAAGAUUGAAGAUGGGGCAUGUUAAUUUUCUAAAGACCUCUGUUUCGUUUAUUCGGGGCAGAUUUUCAGGGAUUUAGAUAUUUUACUUUGAAUAAAUAAGAGUGUUCAAAGCAGGCGUUUUUUGCUUGAAUUCAUCAGCAUGGAAUAAUGGAAUAAGAUUUUGGUCUUAUUUUGUUGGUUUCUAGGACCAAAGUAAUGAUUAAUAGGGAUAGUUGGGGUCGUUUAUAUUAAAUUGUCAGAGGUGAAAUUCUUGGAUUUAUUUAAGAUAAACUACUGCGAAAGCAUUCGGCAAGGAUGUUUUCAUUAAUCAAGAACGAAAGUUAGAGGAUCGAAGAUGAUUAGAUACCGUCGUAGUUUUAACAGUAAACGAUGCCGUCCGCCGAUAAUGAGGAUUUGUUAUUUCAAGACUCUUGUUGCAGGCAGAGAGAAAUCAGAGAUUUUGGGUUCCGGGGGGAGUAUAGUCGCAAGAACGAAACUUAAAGGAAUUGACGGAAGGGCACCACCAGGAGUGGAGCCUGCGGCUUAAUUUGACCCAACACGGGAAACUUUACCAGGUCCGGACAUUAUGAGGAUUGACAGAUUGAAAGCUCUUUCUUGAUUUGAUGGUUGGUGGUGCAUGGCCGUUCUUAGUUGGUGGUGUGAACCGUCUGCUUAAUUGCGAUAACGAGCGAGACCUUCAUUUGCUAAAUAGUUACGCUCAGGUUUUCACUUGGGUGGACAACUUCUUAGAAAGACUAACGGAGUUUUAUCCGUGGGAAGCUGGAGGCAAUAACAGGUCUGUGAUGCCCUUAGAUGUUCUGGGCCGCACGCGCGCUACACUGAAAAUAUCAACAAGUUCUUUGGUGUUUUAUUUCUUUCUUUU
rnacentral:rRNA from 1 species